UCAGAAACGCGUCCCCGUGGCUGAUAGAAGGAAUCUUCCUCGACCGCUUAGCGCCUGGGGAAGUGCGAAACCAUCCGCCAGUGGGUAAAGAUUGCUCGGUUUCUAUCGUCGUAGUGGUAGCGUUGCCACGGCGCUCGGCUAGCGGCAGAAGGGUCCAGCGCUCUCGCUCGCGGUGUUUUAGAGGCGUGCUUCGCUAAAACACCCAGCCCACCGGCACGGCAAUGGAUAAGGACGAGUUGGUUCAGCGGGCCAAGCUUGCGGAGCAGGCCGAACGGUACGACGACAUGGCGGCCGCCAUGAAGCAGGUCACAGAAACGGGCGUGGAGCUCAGCAACGAGGAGCGCAACCUGCUCUCUGUCGCCUACAAAAACGUCGUCGGUGCCCGGCGGAGCUCGUGGCGGGUCAUCUCGAGCAUAGAGCAGAAGACCGAGGGUUCGGAGCGCAAGCAGCAGAUGGCCCGGGAGUACCGGGAGAAAGUGGAGAAGGAGCUACGCGAGAUCUGCUACGACGUGCUGGGUCUUCUAGACAAGUAUCUGAUCCCCAAGGCAAGUAAUGCCGAAAGCAAAGUGUUCUACCUGAAAAUGAAGGGCGACUACUACAGGUACUUGGCAGAGGUUGCCACCGGCGAGCAGAGGAACAGUGUGGUAGAGGAGUCUCAGAAGGCCUACCAGGAGGCCUUCGACAUCUCCAAGGGCAAAAUGCAGCCUACACAUCCAAUUCGACUUGGCCUGGCCCUCAACUUUUCUGUGUUCUAUUACGAAAUUCUCACUGCCCCUGACCGGGCCUGCCACUUGGCCAAGCAGGCAUUCGACGACGCUAUCGCGGAGUUGGACACGUUAAAUGAGGAUAGCUACAAGGAUAGCACGCUCAUAAUGCAGCUCCUCCGAGACAACCUCACGCUCUGGACGUCGGACACCCAAGGGGACGGCGACGAGCAGCAGGAAGGUGGUGACAAUUGAUCUUCGUGUGUGCACCGAGCCCCUUCCGCGUGCAUUCCCAUCGCGCCGCGGCCGCCCCAGCAGCAACGCCGACACCGUCGUCCCUCGCAGCAGCCGGCCGAUGGCGAUGCUGAUGCUGCUGCUGCUGCCGACGUCGCCGCCGCCGCUGCCGCCGCCGCCGCCCUCCUCUCCUUCCCCUCCCUCACCGCCCGCCCUUUCUUCCUACUGCCGCCGCCGCCUCUGGUCGUUGUGGUCCUUGCCACCGCUGCGCCUCCUCACCUCACGGCCUCCCCUCCUCUUCUCUGCUCCUCCUGACUCUCUUUUCAUUCGUUGUCUUGUUUUUGUGUCUACCUACCGCGUGGAAGAAGGGACACCCCCCCCCCCCCCUUUCUGUAUAUCUCGUCUUGCCAAACCUCACUUCAGGGGGAAAGGGUCUCGAAACAAAGCGAGCAUUAUUGGGCGGUCAUGUUGUGUGGUGUCGCUUCUUGAGCCGUGGUGUGUGGUGUCACGGCCGCCUAAGUAUCCGCCCCCCUUCUCGCGCAUUUUUUUAUGUCUGAAGGAGGAGGAACGCAAGCUGGUCCAAUGUCUUCGUGCUCCCAUCUUGUUCUCUUCCGUUUCCAAAGGAAUUUUGCCUUGAUGUGCAGUUUCCAACAUGGGGGCGGGGGGGUUGUGUCCAUGCCCCGUCGACCGGGUGCUCGUCUUGUCGGAUAGCUGGUUCCGUUGUUGCUCUCCCACCCUCCUGUUUGUGUGCGCCCAGAUUUCAAGAACCCCACCCCCCACGUUUUGUUCCCUUGCGGUUGUGCCUAGGUGUUUUAUGUAGGGGGGAGGUGGCCCAAGCUACUUGAGUGCACGCACUCCAACAAACCCACCUCUUUCUUAGGUGUUCAUUUGUUCACUGCUGUUUUAAUUUGUCCAAUCCACUGUAGCCAAAAAAAAAGGGAAGCAUCUUGCCUCCUUUCCUCUGUUGCAACUGUUCUUGGAGGGAGCUUUGACAGCAAGAAUCCCAAGUCUUCCGUUGUUUUCAGUUUUUUUCCUGAACGAGGGGAGGGAGUGUUUACCUGGUUGGACUUUUUCCACACACACUUGGCUGAGGCAGUGCGCAUGCGCAUGCAAGUCUAUACUCAGAUAAAGAGAAACUUAGGUUUAACAUUUAUUUCAUAGGAAGAUUCGUGCCUCCUGUGGGACAAAGCGGCGGCAGCGACCACUUUUCUCUCUCCUGCCACUACCCUUGUCUCGGACAUAAUUUUUUAAGUGUUCAGGUUCGUGUACAGCUUCUUUUUUUCUUUUUUUUUCCCCCGUCCCUCAACUGUUUCUGUUAGAUUUUCUUUUCCCCCCUGGGAGAAUGACGUUCUAGUGAUGCGCAGAGCUUUUUAUUUGUUCGAUAAAGAUUGAGAAGGCAGGGGGAGGGAUUGCUUAGAAUAGGGAAAAAAAAAAACCGAUGCGUGGCGGCCCUCUUUACACCGCCCAACGUAGGAAGCGCUUCUUUCUUUUCUUUCCCCUGUGGAAUAUAAGGGAGGGGCCAGCGAACGCCUGCGACCACUACUGUAUUUAUGAUCUUCCGUAGCUGACCACUUUUUUUUCCCCCCUCGAAGGCGUCACUCUCGUUGACAUCUUGUUUUCACAUGUUGGAGCCUAUGCUCCCCCACAACUCGGUCUCUCUCCUGUCCUCCUUGCCCUCCCUUGCCCCCUUCCUUCUCCCUCCUCGCAGCAGCAUCGUUAUAUUAAAAAAAGAACAUUGUCAUUUACCAGAGCUGUCACCCGAUUCCUUUUGUUUGCCCUCCUGUUUGAGCAUACAGUGUACUGAGAACUGAUGAUGGAAGAGAAACGUGUGCCCUUGAUUUCGAUCCCCGGUGGUGGUUUUUCAUUUUCAAAAUUUUUUCUUCUACAAGCAAGCGCAUUCAGUGUUAUUGCUGUGUGAAGCGGAGCGUGUGAUUUGCCAGUUCCCCUCCUCCUGUGGUGGUUGAAUCGUCGGGUACGUCCCUGAAGACGGCUAGAGUGAUGAGCACGUUGUCCACGGCGGCAUCAGAAGUGCUGGCUUUUAUCUGCUCCAUCGGGUCAAAAGCCUGGGCGUUUGGUAGCCGACGAUGGAUGAGUAUGACACCAAACCGGCCCCCUGCGGCUGUAAGAGUGACCGCGACAUGAGUGUAGCCGAGUCAACGGGGGUGUAGAAAACUUUGUCGGCGGACUCCAGGCCUCGAUUGCCGGGACAGUUGUUUGUAACGCGGGAGGUGGCCGUCAUCUGUUGCCUUGCGGGGAAGGCAGAAGCAGAAUAAAUGUUUUGGUUCAAGUUUCUA